CUCUCUUAUUAGCUGUGAUAUUGAGGCCUCUCCUCCCCUCUUAAAUAGUGUACCUAACUGCCCCUAUUCUUGUAUCACCUCAUACCAAAUUCUAUGGAAUUCUUGAUUCAUGGAGGGUUUGUCAAAGGGUUUCUUACAGAGAUUAUUGGCAUUCUGUCCACCUCCUUCAUUCUUUUUCAGAAUCCAACAAAAUCAUAACUUGAGGUUAGGAGGUGGGCAUACUGCCAACUGAGCUCCGUUGGAUUCUCUUUGCAAAACCCUCGUGAAAUUUGCUUCCUCUUUGUAGAUCAAGCUCUUAUGUAGUCGGUUGAAGUUGGGAUUUGAAUGGUCUUCCUUGUUGGUGUUGAGCUCAUCGGAGGGGGCGGAAAAUAAGUGGAGAUGGGAGAUGGAAGUGUAUUAUAUUUCGAAGCAAGUAUAUAUAUGUGGCGAAGACUGUUGUUGUUGUCGUUGUUGUGUGAUGCGAAUAUCGAUUUUUGCUAUGGGUCAAGUUUGAGAGUCUUGUUCUUCAUUAGGGUUGGUUGGAUGGAGGUAUGUGGAUGGUGUGGUUAAAUAGAAUAACAUGAAAUAUGAAAACUCUUUUGGUUUCAUCGAAUUAAUAUGGAAAUAUAAAGUUUA